GCCAACUCUAUCCUGUCUCCUAGUGCAGACCGUUUUGUGGCGACUCGACGUAAGUUCACACAGGAAUGACAUUUUCAUGAAUAACGCAGGGUGCCUUUAUUCAAUACAUUAUGGACCCCUCAUCAUGUCCAAACUUAACUUUUUUUCCCCUUUGAUAAUGUAAUAUUCACAGUUGGAAAUGAACAGGUUAAAUGUGAUAUGCAAUACACUUAUUUGCAUUUUAUUUCCAAUCAUUGGAAAGCAAUUUGUUACUAUUAAAUUGUGGAGUUGUAAUUUUUUAAUCAUGAAAAUCCAAAGAAUUACUAAUUGAGUGUGAUUACCUCCUUUUGUGCAGCUCUUAUAUUAGAAAAAAAAUCAAAUUUAAUGUUCCUUAAUAUGGAAUAGACAAUCAUUAUCUAUGCCGCCAUUGAUUUAUUUUAUUAUUCAUUUAAUCCUCCGUUUAGAAAUGUGUAUAUCCUUCUAAGGUACUUUGCAUGCUUCUGUUUACAGCUUACGGAGCUGCUUGGCCUCAUUAUAACUUAUUACAUUGUAGGAAUACUUAAAACACGGUAAAGGAAAUAACAUUUUCCAAAACACAUCAUAUUUUAUCAGCAGAGUAAUCCAUUGUUAUUACUGCUUACCAGGACAUGGUUAUAAACAUUAUAGAGGGAACUUAAAAUAAAGAGUCUAAAAUGCGCAGGGAUAAUAGAAACUUUUGUAAAAUACUUUGAGGUCCUAAAUUUAAAAAAGGCUGGUUCUGUGGUUGGAUUCAAGUUGGACUCGUUGGAGGAUGUGGUGGAGAGAUGUACUGUGAGGAAGGUGGAGGCUAUUCUAAAGAAUAUGGCUCACCCACUUCACAACACCUUGGUGGACCGAAAGGCCUAUGGUGGUGGACGGCUCCUCUCUCUGCUGCAGGACAGAAAGACUCAUAAGAUCUUUUGUACCCACAGCCAUCAGACUCUACAAUUUAAAUAGUAGAUGACUUUUUGAGACAUGACAAGUGAGACUACAGACAAUUGAAUUACCCUUAGGGGAUAAAUAAUGUUCUUCAUUUUCAAUUAUCUCUUAUGAACACUGUAUUUUUAGUCAUUAAUUUGAUUGAAGGGUUAUCGAACAAGACAAUGGUCACUUCCAGCUUUUGACUCAACUUGACUUUUGAUAGAUGUAUAGUUGAGGACAGCCACUUGGUGGAUUGAGUAAAAGUACAUUAUAAUCUCAUUAGCUUUGGGUGGAUGUUGGAUCAUUUAAUUUUAUUUCUUUAAUAAAAAAAGAUUAAUGUUUUUUUCCAUUGUGUCUUACAGGUAUCCUGUCCAGUCUCCCCACUCUCCCCUAUCAUUUUGGUCCCUCUGACUUUCCUGUCUCCUCUACCACUCUUUCUGAUUGAAAAGCCACUCUGCCUUUCUAUCCCCCUUCUAUCCCACUCUGGCUACUAAUACAAUCCUUGAACAAAUCUUUGAUACCAUUGAAACAAAUCUUUGAGAACUAUUGAAACAAAUCUUUGAGACCUAUUGAAACAAAUCUUUGAGACCUAUUGAAACAAAUCUUUGAGACCUAUUGAAACAAAUCUUUGAGACCUAUUGAAACAAAUCUUUGAGACCCUUUGCAAUAAAUCUUUGAGACCUUUUGCAACAAAUCAUUUGAGACCCCUUUGCAACAAAUCAUUUGAGACCCCUUUGCAACAAAUCAUUUGAGACCCCUUUGCAAUAAAUCUUUUUGAGACCUAUUUUAACAAGCCACCUUUUUUGAGAAACCUUUGUAAACAAUCAACCCUUUUUUUGAGAAACCGAACUUCUGAAAAGCUGUACAUUUAAUCCAACCACUGUAUUGGAAAAAGCCCUAAUUUUGCAAAAGUCUCAUUGUUGUUCCAGGUUUUCUUUUCCUGUCUGUGGAUCCAGAGUUUCACCAGAAGAAGUGUCAUCAGCACCACCAUAUCUGCGUCCCUGAUUUUGAAAGAAAAAAUAAACACGUUUCAUAUA
rnacentral:lncRNA from 1 species